AACAGCAGCCGAUUUGGAUUCCUGAGAGAUUAACUAAAGUGAGCUCUCGGGCAUUGUCUGUCACCACUGUGACCUGAUGUCCACCAGCCACGGAGAGCAUCCCGUCUUAAACACGGAGGAACCAGCUGAUGUGACAUUAUGAUGACUGGUCCUGUCUGUGGGCACCACUGGGAGGGGUGCGCUGGAAUGUUGUGCCGGGAUGCCGUGGCUGGGCAUCCGCCACACCCAGGGAGGAAGCCCUGUUUCACGGGGGAGUGCCGCCCACGCAGAGGCCCCCGUGGAGACCCCCAGAGCCGGCUUGCGGCUCAUGAGCUUCACACGGAAUAAGACCCUCGGAGCUCCGGGCCCUGCUCCUCCCAACCUUCAGAGCCAAGGCUUGUUCAUGGGGCGACAACCAGGGCUGCCGUUGUGCUUCCUCUCCUGGCUGUGGCUCCAGAGUUCCUGGUGCCACACUCCGGUCCUCUCACUCAGGUGCUGUGUUUGCGGAUGUGGGUGACAGACCGGGGCUACGCCCCGUCCUGGUGGCCUGUUUCCCGUCAGGGUCAGAACACGCCUCCCACGGAGAUGUGACCUGAGGUGUGGGUCACGCUGCAGGACACAGUGGCACGAGCGGGUCCUGCAGCGACUCCACACAGCGCCUUCCUCACGCCCUGGAAGGUGCAGGGCGGGUGGACCUCCUGUGGAUCAGAGCUCCCUGGCGGGAUGUCCCCGUUCCUCCUUGUUCCCCCGGGAAAGAUGGGAUGGCAACAGAUGAUGCCUGUGGGGGGCAGCGCUGGGUCCCCAUCUCGGUGGUUAGAGACCCGAUGGGUGCCUUGAAGGACGGCUGUGAGGGCGGAGCCCCAUGGGGGAGGCUGUAGACUGGGGGGCAGCAGGCUAGCCUGGCCGCAUGCCGAGGUCGGUGGGGCACAGGAAGGGGCCGCCGCCAGAGGGCAGCCUCCCGCAUGGCUGGCUUCCUCUCAGAGAGAAUGGGACACGCCUCCUCCGCUGCAGUCACGCGUCAGGAGGAGUGCCUGCUUCUCGGUGGCACGGAGCAGCUUGUCUCACAGCGUGUCCCUGAGGCGGCCCUGGUGCUGCAUUCCAGGCGCAGGUCCGGGCCAACCGGGUUCAGCCUUCCUCCAACUUCAGCACUAGGAAAGGGGACAGCUCCCCCUCUGUCUUGUGCUGGUCUCAAUGGGACACAGAGGGCACAAGUCACGUCUGUUCCCAUCUCCUAGGAAAAUCAAGCCACAGGGCUCUGUCUGGUGCUGGCACGCCACCUAGAGCCCAAGUGGGCUGGUGGAGGGCAGGAUGGGUCAGUGAAAUUGUGGGACUUGUGUAUCACAGAGUCUUGUCCAGCCUCAGGAGGGCAGUGUGGACGGGCCUCGAGGCCAGUGUGCUACGUGAAAUAGGCCAGUUGUGAAGGACUGGUGAGGGAUCCGCUUAUCUGAGGCACUUCGAGGAGUCAAAUUCCUAGGGACAGGGGCUGGUCUCCAGGCUGGGCUAGGCUGGGCUCGGGCAGGUAUAGUGGAAUGGGUGACGUUGCCUGGAGCGAGUGAGGUGUGCGCGUGUGCGCGUGUGCGUGUGUGUGUGCAUGUGUGUGUGUGUGUGUGUGAAGGUAGGACGCAGAGCAGAGAUGCUCAAGUCUGAGCGCUAAGCCAGAGGCUCCGACACCAACUCCAGGAAGCUCGGGAGGGCCCUGCAAUGCCCUGGUCACUAAGGAUCUGCGCAGGGUCAGGAUGCAGCCUGCUGGACCACACCCCGGUGGCUUGCCCCACACCCACGCAGCGUGCUGCCUUGGAGUGUCUUAAGGGACUGGAACCUGGGCCUCGGGACUUCAGGAUGUUUGGUCAGACCACGGGACGGUGACAUGGGCACGGCUCCCUCCUAACAUAUGAGGAAAUGCCCUGCCCAACUGCUCAGCCCAGGUCCCUGGUGGCCUCAGGGGGACAGGUGGCUCUGCCCUGUCACACAGCUUCUUCCCAUGACGUCUUCACUCUGUGCAGAGACAGAGCCGCCUCCCUGCCCCAGAACUGCUCCCACCAGAACCACAGCUGGUUCCCAUGUCCCCUGUGAGCCUGGCCCAGGGGGGCACCUACAGGUGCUCUGUCUCCUCCAGGGGCAGACCUCUGCUCUCUGCCCAGGGACCCCCUUGAGAUUUUGGUCUCACUUAAUGUCCCUGACUGCAGCAGUGUCUCUGUCCCAGGUGUGACUGAGGAGGAUGUCAGCAGAGGUGUGAGGGACCUUCUUGCCCUGUGGGACACUUGGGCCAUAUGUCAUGUGGCCCCUCGAACGUCCAGGGUGGGUGCUGAGCCACGAGAGUCUCUGGGGGAGGCCCGCUGAAUCUGGCCACGUGGCCGUGUGUCACCUGCACCCAGGGGCUUCCUGGGCUGGGCUGUGAGAGCGCUGAGGGCACCCACCCCCUGCGUGGUCCCCCCACACCUGCCCGGCCCUUGCUGCAGCUGGAUGGCAGGAGGACAGGGGGGUGGCGGGGCAUCUUCACCCAGGAGACGUCUUGGUGAGCCCCUCUCUCUGCCAGCAAGCUGGUGAGGAGCACCCAGAACGGGAGAGGGGUAGUCACAGGAUCGACGUCCAGGGUGUGUGGACAUGCCCGGGACCCUGGGGCCACAGCGGCACUUGGUGCUUGGGGCUUGUAAUUCCAGGAAGGGCGGACAAGAGUGUCCCACAGCCAGGAGGCCAGUGAGCCGGGAGGAAGGGGGAGCAGGGUGGGGGUCCAGGAAGGAGUCAGCAGUGAAGGUCCAGCAAGGGACCUCAGCUGGCACAAUGUGGGGACUGGACGGUGAGACUGGUCCCUGGAGGGGCCGUGCAGCAUCUGCCAUGCCUCUGUGGACAUGCAGGUGGAGCCCAGAAAGCCCCCCGAAUUCCCGUUAGCACUCACAGCUGUGCAUCUGCAUGUGUGGACCUGCAGGUGGACGGCCAUCCCGGAGCCCCUAGAGCUGCAGGUCACCUGGAGCAUCUUGUCCACUUCAGUGUGCCCUGAGCCUCACCCUGGUGUCUGGGGUCUGCGACCUGAGCAGCUGAGCUGGGGGUAGGGAGCCCGAGAGCCAGACGCCUCCCUGUUUCCACCCCGUCAGCGUCUGUGGUCCUCUGAGUCUCCACGCCAGCGAGGGCCGGGCAGCAGCCUGUCUGGUCAGAGCCACAGAAGGAGCAGCAGGUUCUGGCCUCGGGUCCUGGGGCUGGGGUCAGAUGGUGGUGGGAGCCUCCAUUUACAGGAGGACACUUGUACUCUUGUCCUGGGAGCCAUCUCCAGACCCACACAUGCCCAGGGAGGAAGGGCUCUGGGUCCACUGAGGGCCUGGUGGCUCAUCCCCUCCUACGGGUGAGGACUUAGCUGUGGGGUUUGCCUCCGUGGACUUGGGGGGACUUGCUGUGGGUUGGGGUCAUGUUCUCCCCUUUCCUUCCUAGAAUCCUCUCCCUGUCCCAGGAAGGGGAGCACGGUCAGCUGGUGCCUUCUCCUGUUGGUCCAGCUCUAUGGCUGGCCACCUGGCAGGGCAACAGAGGUGUGCCCGGGGAGCAGGGAGCCCAGCUGGGAGAGCCGUCUGAGCCUUGCCUCGAGAUGCUGGAGUUGAAGUCCGCAGGGACACGGGCGUCCUCGGCUCCCCACCAUGAGCCGGGCCUGGGGUGGAGUCCCGUCGUCCCUCAGGGUCCUGCCCUAGACUUGGCUGUGUUUAGAGGGGACCUCUGUGUCCCGGAGCCUUCCUCCCUCUCUCUUCUCUGAGAGUCUCUGUGACGCCUGCCUCUGCUGCCUCUGGCCCUUCCUGAACCCUUCUUGACUCUGGAUGUUAUUUUCAUGAAGCCGUUUCCUUCUCCUUCUUGACCCUCAUUGGCUUGCCCCCCUCUCCCGGGCCUUCCUGCCCUUCACUUCUGUGAAUGCCAUCUUCAUUAAUCU